GCCGCGGCGUUACGCGCGGCCGACGUGUCCGCGGAAAACCGCUUAAAAAUCAGGGGAGUACAGGGGAGUUUCGAUCCGCCCCAGCGGCUCGAACGUUUACCGAUUACGGUUUUCCGUAACACUGACGAAUGAUUAGCAAAGUAUCAAGUACCGAAUUAGUACAAACUCAUUCGACGGGAGACUACCAUCAUUUUGUAACAAUCGUUUUCGCAGUGUUAGAAUGGUAUCGCUAACACGUAAGAGCCGUUAUGGUGGGAUGGGGGGAGUUUUAGAACCCAUUCCGCCGGUAUUGCUCUUACAAAUAUUUUUCGAGUGAUUUUUUUUUUUUUAAAGGCUUUUGAAGCGCUUUCGCGGAUAUUAUCGGUAAUUACAUUCGUACAAUUCCGUAUUGCGUUCUUCUUAUUCGCCUCAGGUAUUUACGACUAUACCACGGGGCUUCGCCCGCCAACUUCCCUGCGUGCUUCGCGGUCCCGGACUAUAUCCUUCCGCUACCGGACUCCCACCGCUCCGAGUAUCGCCCUCCGCUGCGUUCGACCACCAUGCCCCCGUUCUCAACGUGCUUCCGAUCACGCGAUCGUCCGUCACCCACACCGCACGUCCGCACGCGAGAGUAAAUCUCAAACAAUUAUACAUCGUGCCGUACGCGUUUUCGGUUUAAUUUUCUCUGUCGCGAUUUCGGCGGUUCGAGAAAUUUAAUCCGUGCGCAAAGGAUUCCGUGCACUCGUCCCGCGUUCGCUAUUCUUACGCGCCUGUCUCGCGUGACAAACAUCAUCAUUUUCACUGGCGUAAUAGGUGCGCCCGACAUUCCCCGAGGCCAUUGAAUCCACGGCGUCUUGCUCGCCGUCAAGAAGUUCCGACGGUUUGGUUUUACAACAUACGAGCCCGUAUGGAUGGCAACAGAGAAGUCGGUCUUUGGGGGGGGAGGGGCGAGGGGAGGUGCGGCGGGCAGCGAAACCGCUUUUUCGACCGAGUCGGUUAUCGCGGCUACCGUUUCUGUUAUCAGCGACUAAGCACCGGUGGUCCGUGCAGUUCGCGUUACAAUUUGAUAACGACGUUAUAACGGCGUGACGGACCGGUGAACCGCGAAUUCAAAAAACGACAAGAGGGUAUGUAAAAAACGGCGCGAUAAUUACGGCAAAACGAACGAUAACGAUAUUGCGUGAAGUGUAAAUAAAAAGACUCGCGACCCCCUGCGUCACGAGUUUUCCCGGCACUCCUCGAACGCGACGAAAAUACGAUCGAAUCGAAAGAAAACCAGAGUGGAUUUCGGGAACCUUGCCGCCACAAUUCGAAUCGCUACAGGCGAUACUCAAUCCAACACGUUCGGACGGUAUUUCCCGACCGGACGGCGUCGGAGAUCUUAACGCGCCGUGAAAAAAAAAACAACAACAAAUUUUUCUCCGCUGAUAAUUUUUCCGUCGGCUCGUAUAUAGUUCGGUAAUAGCUGGGUAUGGAUAAAAAACGGUUUCUUCGUCGCGUUCCCCCGCGAUAACUGUACCCGGCGAUCGUUCCCUUCCUCUCUCUUUUACCGUAUUUUUGUUUCCCCCUCCGUCGCGUUGAAAACUAAUUUUACCGCCCAGCAUAGUGUGUCCAACAACAAUUGUGUUCUUCUGGUUUCUAUCGUUUCAUCAAUCGUUCGUAUCGUCCGUCUCGUACCGUCGCCGUGUCAUCUCCCGGUCCGUUUACUAAUAAUCGGCUAACACAACCCGAGACUCACUUCCGCGAUAAACAUCACCGGGACGAGAAAGGUGGGGGAGACGAAACUAUUUGCGAAACAUAUCAGUUUUAAUAAUAUUAUUAACACUACCCUGUACAAAUCGUGAAUCUUUCAAAUCGCCCGGAAAAAAAUAAAAAUUGUUUAUACACGAGACAUUUUCCUACCGACAUAACAUCGCGAAACCGACGGAUUUGUCACGGUAACCGAAAUGCAUCAUCGCCAUAAUAUAACAUGGCCUCGUAACUCUAUUGCAUAAGAAUUUUAGCUGUCACCUUCCGAUUUUCUCGACCGUGAUUUCCAAUUAUUGCUCUGCGGUGUCUCGUCGCAUUCAGCGACCAGCCAAACGUUUCUUCGCAGCCUCCCUCUGGACGUCCUCCCUACACGAUCGCCAUUUAAUCGUUUGCCCCCGUGGCCUCGCGAGGCGCCGACCAAACGGAGAUCGGAGGGGCGCCAGUGAACACUUUUACGGUUCGGCAAUUAAAUAUUUGUUUCAAUUGACGUAAUGGACGUACGAGUGAACGCUAAACGGACGGGUUUCGCGCGCGUUACGAUGAUCCCGCAGCCAAUUCGCCGGUCGGACGGACGCGACCUCGGAAGAUUUUUUUUUUUGUUUUUUUUUUUCGAAAAACGUCCAACGACCUCUCGGUACGGUUCUGUCACGAGUGCGCAACGCGUUUUCCGUCCGACACGCACGCCCCCGUUGCACACCGUUAUUCUAUUAUAACCGUAUGCCUACUUGUAUUGUGCUUACGAGACGUGCUUUUUUUUUUUUUCGAUUUUCAGAAACAAGAAGGCUACCCCAACUCGGCGGCGCCCGAGUACGGAGCGCCGGCCAGCCCGUCGCCGUCCAUCGCGUCGGACACGUACGGUUCCCCGUCACCGUCCACCGGAUACGGCGCGCCCAGCGGCCCGGGCGGUCUGCAGUACUGACCCGCGCGUACGGAAAAACGGAAAGAGAAAAAAAUACUAGAAGAAAAACAAAUACAAUAAAACAAAAUCAACCGUUCGAAAUAUUAAUCGCGGCGAUCGCCGCCGCCCCACCCUCUUCACCACAUAUUAUUGUGCCCAUCGCACGCGCCGUCCGAGACGGAAAUUUAAUCGUAUUUUUAUCAAUUAUCACUGUUUACCUAUAUAACCCGCAUGGUAUUUAAACUGGGACGGAAUAGAGGACAUCGUUUUAUAUAUAAUCGCAUGCACAAAAAAAAAAAAAACCUAAUUUUUUAUUUUCCGUUCGUUACGGAUCGAGCGCAUACAAUAUAAUUGUUAUUAUAAUGUUUUCUUUAAGUGUUGCCAUAAGAAUAUUAUAAAAAAAAAAAAUGUUUUUAAAAACGCUAGUGAUAUUAUCGCCGCGAUACGCGCGAUUAAAAAAUCAUUGCAACAAUGUACAUUUGAAUAAAUAUUUUAUUAGAUUUUAUUGUAUCGCGUUUUCGCGAAAAAAUAUAACAGUUAACUGUCCCGAACGGGGUACACGAAAACGUGUGCAUCGCUCGCCAUUUCCCCCUCCCCCUCCCCCCCCGCCACGGCCUUUGAGUGACGCGUUUCUUUUUAGCCGCCCGUUUCCCCGGGGAUUCCCGGACGCCGGGGCGUAACGCCCGAGCUCCUGCUCGACAAGACUUGGAACCGUCCAAAUGACCGCCGCGACACAACGUUACACGCCCGUGUCCGACACCGCGUCUCCGGGCGCAACACGCGGCGCGCUCUACACGCGAAUCCCCGCGCACUUCCCGUGUUCCAGAACGAUAACUAAUGUUGUCCAAUCGCGUGGUAUUUCCCCCCCCCCAUCUAAAUAUUAUACCGGCCGUUUACCCCGGAUUUCGACCACUCUCCCGUCAAUGUCAUCGUGCCUACAGCUAUACCGACUUACGAGUUUCGAGAGAAAAAAAACAAAAUGUCCAUACAAAACAACAACAACGCGGUUAUAACAGCGAAAUUUCUUGAGUUUUAUUUUUUUCUUUCCCCUCCCCCCCCCCGUCCCGACGCACCGUAAAAUAAAAAUUAUAUCACAUUAUAUUAUUAUUAUGUAUAUCAAACUGUUUUAUAUAUAUAUAUAUAUUAUUUUUUAUGUUUUUUUUUUUUUUGUGUACAUAUAGUAUUGUUAUUAUUACUUAUAUAUUAUAUUUUAUUAUAUUUACCGUGUAUAUUUAUUGUGUUUUUCUUUUCUUUUUCUUUUUUUUCACUUUUAUUAUCAUUUUCAUUAUUGUACGCGCGCGUUCGAACAACACUACGAUUGGUGUUGCGACAAAUAGUGUACCAAAAGUACAUUCCAAAGGAGCGAAUACCGAAAAUUCGAUCACCCGUUAGGUGUCCGGAGUUAAACCGGCGGGACGUGGCGCCGCGGUUAAAACAGGUCGCGAUUCCGACGCGUCUACGACUAUCGCUCGGACAUCCGCAUGUAUUGCGGACGAGAA